ACCCCCAUACCUUGAACUCUCCUCUGACCAAGAAUACUCUGACCCUAACUCUCCAACCUUAGCCCAAAUUCAGGCUCAAAACCUUGCUUCACAACAACCAACACAAUCUGAAGCAACUUCACCUCCCCCAGAACAAACAACCAACAUUCCUUCUGAAGACCAACCUUCUGAAACUCAACCCUCUGACCUCCACACCUCUGAUAUCACCCCUCCAAACACCUCCGCUGAACCUGAAGCUGAACCUGAACCUCUAACAUUAAAUCUCAGCCCUCCAACCUCUUCACCUCAAACCU
rnacentral:lncRNA from 1 species